UAUUCUGCCCAAGCGGGGAGGAUGAGAAGCUUCGACUAAGGUUCGAUUCGAGCGUUAGCGAGAAAGCGUUGCCGCAGGCAACGACCCGAAGGGCGAAGCGCACCGCGCUGAGUAAUCCUUCCCCCACCACCA
rnacentral:sRNA from 1 species